CCUACGGGGGGCAGCAGUGGGGAAUAUUGGAGAAUGGGGGCAACCCUGAUCCAGCCAUGCCGCGUGUGUGAAGAAGGCCCUCGGGUUGUAAAGCACUUUCAGUGAGGAAGAACGCCUGGUGGUUAAUACCCAUCAGGAAAGACAUCACUCACAGAAGAAGCACCGGCUAACUCCGUGCCAGCAGCCGCGGUAAUACGGAGGGUGCGAGCGUUAAUCGGAAUUACUGGGCGUAAAGCGCGCGUAGGUGGCUUGAUAAGCCGGUUGUGAAAGCCCCGGGCUCAACCUGGGAACGGCAUCCGGAACUGUCAAGCUAGAGUGCAGGAGAGGAAGGUAGAAUUCCCGGUGUAGCGGUGAAAUGCGUAGAGAUCGGGAGGAAUACCAGUGGCGAAGGCGGCCUUCUGGACUGACACUGACACUGAGGUGCGAAAGCGUGGGUAGCAAACAGGAUUAGAUACCCUAGUAGUC
rnacentral:rRNA from 1 species